rnacentral:ribozyme from 1 species
CCCGACCGUUGCUGCUACCUUGACGUGGUGGUCGGGCUUGCCUGCCGUAAUGAACCAAUAGAGCUAUACUGGAUGGAACAAUCGUUCCUCAAAGUCCAAUCAUGCCAGACAAGUCGGUUGAAGAGCGGUAAGGCUAAAAGCAGC